rnacentral:lncRNA from 1 species
GCAAUGGCAUUGGAAAUGCUAUUCUUCCGGUCGAAAACAAAAACCAAUUCAGCAGAGUCGCCUAUAAGCUCUUUCAAGUUGGACAUAAACCACAUCCACGAUCUAUUUGUUUCAGCAUCAACGAUCCCCCAUGCCAAGGGAUAUAUCUGUUUGUUGGCAUCUUGGCCGGUUGCCAGCAAAAGUGUACCUUUGUAUGGACCUUUCAAGUGACUACCGUCAACACAAA